AUGCCUGAUGGCAUGCACAAGUCUGCUGAAGGCUGUGAGACAAAUCCAACAUAUAUUGCAGCAAAGAAGGCAAAACAUCUUGAAGAUAGCGAGACAAACCCAAAGUCUUGUCUUGAUGCAGUGUUCAAGUUACUUGAGACUAACAGUCAGACAAGCUCACAGAAUUCGUUGUCUGAAUUAGUUCGACUUCUUCAGUCCCAAGUUCUAGCAGAAAGGCAUUCUGCAACUCAACUUCGACUUGAAGUCCUAUCUCUAAGAAAGAUUGCGGAGAAAACCAAUGAGAACCUCAUCACUAAACAGCUACUCCUGGAAGCUAUGACCGACAUACUAGGCCGGUCUCACGGCCUUGCUCAGCAGCUUGCGCAGCAGUUCCCCCGCAAGCCUAACCUUUCUUGA
rnacentral:rRNA from 1 species